UCCCGUCUUGAAACACGGACCAAGGAGUCGUCUUCGUAUGCGAGUGUUCGGGUGUCAAACCCCCUUACGGCGUAAUGAAAGUGAACGUGGGUGAGAACCCCUUGCGCGGGGCGCAUCACCGACCGAUCUGAUGUUCUCGGAUGGAUUUGAGUAGGAGCAUACGGGGCCGGACCCGAAAGAAGGUGAACUAUGCCUGUGUAGGGUGAAGCCAGAGGAAACUCUGGUGGAGGCUCGCAGCGGUUCUGACGUGCAAAUCGAUCGUCAAACAUGGGCAUGGGGGCGAAAGACUAAUCGAACCUUCUAGUAGCUGGUUCCCGCCGAAGUUUCCCUCAGGAUAGCAGUGUCGGAUCUCAGUUUUAUGAGGUAAAGCGAAUGAUUAGGGACCCGGGGGCGGUUUUAAGCCUUCAUCCAUUCUCAAACUUUAAAUAUGUAAGAAGCCCUUGUUACUUUGCUGAACGUGGGCGUUCGAAUGCAUCGACACUAGUGGGCCAUUUUUGGUAAGCAGAACUGGCGAUGCGGGAUGAACCGAACGCGAGGUUAAGGUGCCGGAGUGGACGCUCAUCAGACACCACAAAAGGCGUUAGUACAUCUUGACAGCAGGACGGUGGCCAUGGAAGUCGGAAUCCGCUA
rnacentral:rRNA from 1 species